rnacentral:tRNA from 1 species
GGAAGGAUGGCUGAGUGGUCGAAAGCGCUUGCUUGGAAAGCAAGUGUACGAGAAAUCGUACCGUGGGUUCGAAUCCCGCUCCUUCCGCCA